AGGUAUCUGCCACACAGUCCGAUUCCGAGCGCGCCGUCCGCACCCAUCCAUCGGCCGCUCGCGACGUCUUGUUGGUC
rnacentral:sRNA from 2 species